GUUGUUUCGCGGGUUUGGCAUGGUUAUGGAUUGGUGCUUCAGGUUUUCGCUUUGGCAUUCGUUGUUCCCUGAUGGUUUGGUAUGGUUAUAGUUUGGUGUUUUGGUGCCGGUAGCCUUGUGCGGUUUUCGAUGCGGUAUUCAUCCUUUGGCAGGUUGUGGGUUUGGUUACGGGUUAUUGUUGGGAAUUCCGUUGGUUAUCGUUCGUGAGGGUUGUUAGUGGAGAUGCGGCACUGGGUUGAAUGUCGGGUAGCAUCUGCAGUCGUAGAGUGGAUAAUUGAAAGACCGGAUUCUUUUGAGUGGAUUGAUCAGGGAGGAGAUGUGUUUUGCUGAGGGUUGCUUAUGCUUGUGGGAAGCAGUCAGUGGGUAAAUGUUCUCUUUGUGCAGGAUGGUUCUGAAAGGUCGUUAAUGACGAUCGGUGGCAGUUAGUCAGUGCUUUAGUGGGGGAGAAUUGGAGAAUUCUCCGGGAGAUCGAUGAGUAUGUGAGGGUGCUUAGCUGUUGGGAUUCAGCAGUGUUUGUCAGCGCAGAGUAUAGGCCGACGAGAGCGAGUGUCGGGUAUGCGGGGCGGGAUACAGACCUAGGGCAUUUGAUUGUGGAGGCCUGAGAGAAGGCCGGGAUCAAGCUUGAGUAAGUAACCGGGGUUAUGCGAUCAGAGUAUUUGUAUGUUUGAGGUACGUGAUGGGUUGUACUGCAUUAAUCCCACGGGAUUAUGUUGUGCAUGUUUCUAGAGCUGGAACCGGAAGGUUCCCAGAGUUAGAACCUGAGGGUUCGCAGAGUUUGGGUGUACGGACCCACAGAGAUAUAGCCUCGAGUGGCUAGUAUGUGUUAUGAGAGUCGGUCCAGUCAUGCUGGAGACUCUGUUGGUAUUGCUGGAUCAGUUUGAGAUUGCGGAUCGUGUAUGUUGCAGUGUGAUUGCAUUGGAAGGUCUGGCCCCGGGUUAGUGAUCUUGUUUAGCUGAGGCAGUGAUUUUGAUGAGUGGAGAGAGUGCAUGGGAUUGAGAGCCCCUGCAAUGAGAACCAGAGUAUGUGAAUAGCGGUUACGCAAAAAGGGUGGUGUCGCUUGGGGCAAGCACCGUGGCACCGGUUGGAGUGGCAUUAUGGCCAAGAGGGUCCCUUGGAAGGAAAAGAGAAAGGUGUGUAACUCCGAAGGGGAGUGCAAGUUCACGAGAAUGAAAGCUGCAGAGCAGAGUUAUGGUUAGAGUAUUUCGAGUAUGCCUUCGAGCAUCGUGUUCGCGGCAGCGAAGUAGGAACCCAUCCGGUUUGGGAUGUCUGUUGAGGCUCAGAAGGGAUGCAGGGAGAGAGAGAAUCUUAAAUUCUCAGUGUGAUUCUGAUCAGAGUGUAGGGUGGAUGUAGUGGUUCAUCUUGGGAGAUGUUCGAGGAUAUCAUCAGUGUAUCGGGUCUUUCAACCUGCGGGUGUUGGGACUAGUUCAGUAUGUGUAUGUGAUGGCAAGAGGAAACCUUGUGAGAGUUGCUCUGAGAGUGAGAAUGGAUCUCUCAGUCGGUCCGGAAUGGACAAAGUGGGCUUUGGAUCGGGGAUCCGGUGGUUCAUGGUUUCCUAACCCUUAUGGGUCGAGUGAUCGUUGAGAUUUAGAGCAGAGUUGCAUCUUGGGUAAUUUUCGGUUACAGAGAGUGAUGUGCAGUACAGAGAUCGUGCUUCAGUCGACAGAGCAGAUUCAGCAGAUUAGACAGAGGUUAUUGACCGCCCAGAGCCGACAGGAAAGUUAUGCAGACAGACGCCGGUCCGAGCUUGAGUUUCAGGUCGGUGACUUCGUAUUCCUGCAGGCCUCUCCUUGGAGAGGAGUGAUUCGAUUCAGGAAGAGGGGCAAGUUGGGGCCCCGGUAUAUUGGACCUUUUCAUGUGAUUGCGGGGGUAGGCCGGGUGGCCUAUCGUUUGGAGUUGCCCACGGAUUUGAGACAAAUCCACGAUAUUUUUCAUGUGUCGCAAUUGAGGAAGUAUAUAGCCGAUGAGUCGGCAGUGGUUCCAUUAGAAGACAUUCAGGUGGAUGCGAGCCUGAAUUAUGCCGAGAAGCCAGUGGUCAUCAGAGAACGGAAGAUCGAGGUUCUGAGGAAUAAGGAGAUACCUCUGGUGUUAGUUCAGUGGCAGCACCGGAGGGGAUCGGAAAUGAACUGUGAUCUGGAACGUGAUAUGUGGGAGCAGCAUCCGGGGCUAUUUUCAGAGUGAGACUUCGAGGGCGAAGUCUAGUUCUAGUGGGGGAGAGUUGUAACAGCCCGGAAUUUCAAAUAUUGAUAUAAUUAUGAUUUUGGGGGUGUUUUAAGAGGGGACUCGGCGAGUUGGAGCCUAGACUCGCCGAGUAGGAUCGCAGACCGGGUCGCGGGUUCGCGACUGGACUCGACGAGUCCAGAUAUGGACUCGGCGAGUCUGCGCUGUUUAGCGAAAACCCUAACCGUUCAGGUUUGGGACGUAUAAGAGGGACUUAUUGGCCGUCAUUGUUCAUUUUAGCCUUCUGAGAAGAACCCUAAAUCGAUUGGGUGCAUCUGGAGCAAGGUUUAAGGGCCAUUGUUGAUCUUGGAAGAGUUGUUGUGCAAGGAAGAGAAGGGCUUGGCUAAAGGAACAGCAAGGGAGUCACGUUCUGAGGAUUUGGGGACACAGAGGGCACAUUAUUCAGGUAAGAAUUCGAAUUAUGCUCUGCUAUGUUGAUGUGUCAUGGAAUUAGGGUUUAUGGAACCCCUUUGUGAUUAGAUUAAGUGUUACCCUAGUCCCCCAAACGACUAUAACCCUGUAUUAGGACCUUAGAGGUCCAGAAGGUCCCAUGCUUGUGUAUUUCGGGACAAUACUUAUCUCAGGAAGCAGUUUGAUCGACUGCAUGGCAUGGACUCGACGAGUCCGAUGAACAGACUCGGCGAGUAGCUUGAAGAAUAACUGGGACUCGUCGAGUUGUUCUUCAGACUCGGCGAGUUGAGUCGGGGUGGCCCCGCGAUUCUUCCAGGAGGAACUCGUCGAGUAAAAAGGGGAUACUCGACGUGUAGAAAGGGAAUCUUAAGGAAUCGGUGAGUCAAGGGCGAGUGGACUCAGAGUCGUUGAACUCGGCGAGUCUUGGGGUGACUCGGCGAGUUAGGUCGCGGGUUAAGUGAAGUUCUGAGUAUGGGGACUCGGCGAGUCAUAGGGUUGACUCGGCGAGUAGGGUCAGUCAGGGGUUGACUUUGACCUUGUCUUUGACCAAGGAUUGACCAGUGGUUCCAGGGGUAUUUUGGUAAUUGUUGUUUAUUGUUUGAGUUCAGUGCAUUGGUGGUUAUCCAGAGGUGGAGAUCGUAUCAGUGAUCGGAGCAGCUUGAGCUAUCUGUUCAGUCGGCAGUUUCGAGGUGAGUUAUCCUCACUAUAUCGCUAGGGUUUAUGGCACCAAUGCCAACCCUUUUAUCGGAUGGAAAUCCGGGUAGUUGUCAGUUGUUAUAUGUUAUGGGCCGGAAGGCAAUACAUGUUAUGGGCCGGAAGGCAUUACUAUGUGGACCGGAAGGUCAUGGCCUGGAAAGGCGUAUGUAUGCAUUUAGUAUGUUGACUGAUUCAUAGGGUAAUGUUAUGAUAGUGACCGGCUAGACCGGUAUCUUGUUAGAGUAAUGCUAUGAUAUGUGAUCUGUUGAUCGAUUGUUGUCUAUGAACUGCUAUAUGAUUAUUUGUUAUGUUAUAUAUGCAUUUUAUGCUUAUGGGCCGGAAGGCGAUAUGUUAUGGGCCGGAAGGCAAUAUGUUGUGUGAUGGACCGGAAGGUCGGCGUGGGUAGGACCGGAAGGUUUACCCAGCAGGGACGGAAGUCCCCUGAGACACAUGGACCGGAAGGUCAGGGCCUGGAAAGGCGUAUAUGUGGUUGGUAUUCUGGGGGUAUCUCACUAAGCUUUCGGGCUUACAGUUGUGGUUUUAUGUUUCAGGUUCUCAAGAGUCUGUGGCAAGGCAAAGGCGUGAUCGUACCGUUCCUCGCGUUGGUGUUUUAUGAUAUGAACCUGGGAAAUUACUCUGUUUAAUAAUGUAUUGAAAACCUUUUUGUAACAACGUUAAUAAAAUGGGUGAUUUUGAAAAGUUUUAAUUGUUUUGAAAUUUUGGAUGUUACAAGUUGGUAUCAGAGCCUUGGUUUGAGUGAAUUGGGGAAACAUUCGUGUGACUCCAGUCUCAAAUCGAGGAGGAUUUUAAAAAGAGAAAUUAAAAUGGUUUUCAAAUUUAGUAAAAGGAGGACGCGGAGGUACGAUCAGCCGGAGCCAGUAAGUAACCCCAAGAUACCAUACAUGAUAUUUGUUUAUUUGAGCUUGAUAGAACAGCAUGCUAGAGUUAGGCUAGGGAUCUUCAGGAAUUCAUGAUAAUGUUGCCUGAUAUGUGAUGCCUGUAGCCUAGGGUCCCUUAUGGGAUGUUCUCAGUGUUCCUCUAGUGGUGAGGGUUGAUAGUUGUUAUGCAUGUUCCCUAGGGUAUUGUGGUAGUACUUCAUACAAAUAUGGGUAGGUGUGGAAGGUAGUAUGGGCCCGUACUACUGAAAGCACAGGACCCAUACGCGUAUCAGGGAAACCAUGGUCUCUAGGGUAGGGUUGCGAGAGUUGGAUCCCAGGAUUUUGGGAAGUGUCUGAGAUUGGUAGGGUGUCUUCAGUAUGGAGAUUUCGAGGCAUGAUGAUAGUGGAUCCGGAUCAGGAUCGGGAGCUGGAGAGCGAGUUCCGGGUGGAUCGGUGCCGUCGGAGGUUAUCGAUCGGACGAGCACGAGCGAGCGGGAUGCGAGGAUUCGCGAGAUCCUGCGUGAUGAGGUUGCUGCAUUGUUGCGGGCUGAGUCGCCAGAAUUGUUUGGGUCGAUCAGGACCGCCAUGAUUGAGUAGUUUGAUGAGCGAUAUGCGGCUCUCGCAGAGACGGCUGCCGCGGCAGUUACAGCGGCUGUAGCAACGGCAAAGAGAGGAGCUAGUCGGGGUUUUCAGUAUCGGGACUUCUAUUAUACGAAGCCUCCCACAUUCGAUGGAGUUCAGGACCCGAUUGCUGCUAUGAGAUGGUUAUCAGACGUGGAGGGGUGUUUCUCCACGAGUUUAUGCCCUGCUGAUCAGAGGGCGAGGUGUGCUCUGAACCUAUUGAGGCUCGGGGCGAAGGAUUGGUGGAGAUUGACCACGGGGUCAUUUUUCGAUGCGCAGAGGGCUGCGGUUUCAUGGGAUCAAUUCAGAGGGAUGUUCAGUACUCGCUAUGUUCCGCGGGAUGAAAAGGAGAGAUUGGCUCGGGAGUUCCUUGAGCUGAAGCAGGAUUUGGAGUCGGUGACUGAGAUCACCAGGAUGUUUAUUGAGAGGGCGAUGUUUUGCCCUGAGUUCGCUUCGGAGCAGGCUCAGAUGUCCCGAUAUCUGAGUAUGCUCAAGGGGGAUAUCAGACAGUUCGUGUCUGCGCAGAGGUGCGAGACCUUGUUGGUGUUGCAGGAGGCCGCCAUGCGGCGUGAGUUAGAGGUUGAGUUGCAGUUGCGUGAGCUGAGGCAGGCUCCGAUGCAGUCGCAGCCAGCGCCGAAACGGUCCAGGACCGUUGAUGUUAGAGUGGGGGAUCGGAGCGGCCACACUUGUGGGAAGUGUGGGAGGGGUUACACCGGAGCUUGCUGGUCCGGUGGUGCAUGCCGCAAGUGCGGAAAGGAGGGGCACUGUGCACGGGAUUGUCGGCAGUCAGUGCCAAUUCGGGAUUUGAGGAUUUGUUAUCAGUGUCGGCAGGUUGGACAUUUGAGGGUCAACUGUCCACAGCUUUCUGCAGGACCGGUGCAGGCUCUAGCACCGGCCACCUUGAGGAGUUCAGGAGGAGGACAGGAUGGAGCGGAGCCCCAAGGGCUCAGGGUCGUGCUUAUCGGCUUGCGGCAGAGGGAGACGGAGCAGUGCCGGAGGCAGCUGCGGGUAUGAUGCUUUCUUGAUGUCUUGAUUAGCUUGCGUUGAUUGUGGCGUAUUGUUUGUGCUGGUAGUGUGGAUUUCGAUGCGGUAUUCGUUGUUUCGCGGGUUUGGCAUGGUUAUGGAUUGGUGCUUCAGGUUUUCGCUUUGGCAUUCGUUGUUCCCUGAUGGUUUGGUAUGGUUAUAGUUUGGUGUUUUGGUGCCGGUAGCCUUGUGCGGUUUUCGAUGUGGUAUUCAUCCUUUGGCAGGUUGUGGGUUUGGUUACGGGUUAUUGUUGGGAAUUCCGUUGGUUAUCGUUCGUGAGGGUUGUUAGUGGAGAUGCGGCACUGGGUUGAAUGUCGGGUAGCAUCUGCAGUCGUAGAGUGGAUAAUUGAAAGACCGGAUUCUUUUGAGUGGAUUGAUCAGGGAGGAGAUGUGUUUUGCUGAGGGUUGCUUAUGCUUGUGGGAAGCAGUCAGUGUGUAAAUGUUCUCUUUGUGCAGGAUUGUUCUGAAAGGUCGUUAAUGACGAUCGGUGGCAGUUAGUCAGUGCUUUAGUGGGGGAGAAUUGGAGAAUUCUCCGGGAGAUCGAUGAGUAUGUGAGGGUGCUUAGCUGUUGGGAUUCAGCAGUGUUUGUCAGCGCAGAGUAUAGGCCGACGAGAGCGAGUGUCGGGUAUGCGGGGCGGGAUACAGACCUAGGGCAUUUGAUUGUGGAGGCCUGAGAGAAGGCCGGGAUCAAGCUUGAGUAAGUAACCGGGGUUAUGCGAUCAGAGUAUUGGUAUGUUUGAGGUACGUGAUGGGUUGUACUGCAUUAAUCCCACGGGAUUAUGUUGUGCAUGUUUCUAGAGCUGGAACCGGAAGGUUCCCAGAGUUAGAACCUGAGGGUUCGCAGAGUUUGGGUGUACGGACCCACAGAGAUAUAGCCUCGAGUGGCUAGUAUGUGUUAUGAGAGUCGGUCCAGUCAUGCUG
rnacentral:lncRNA from 1 species